UUAACUUCUGGAAAUUUUUUGGUUGGAGUCUCCGGUGACUCGCCGGGGAAGACGACCGGAGCUGUAGCUCCGGCGUCUGUGAUUGUUAGGGUUUAUGCUGACUAUUUUCCGCGUGUGUGCUUGCUUGGACGUUUGAUUGGCUACGAAGGCUUUGACCUUGCCACGCGUGUUUUGAAUGCUGAGUGUGCGUGCUGACAUCGUUUAAUGAAACGGUGCGUUUUGCUCAUUCAAAUGAGGAGCGUUGAU
rnacentral:lncRNA from 1 species